CUGGUCCCAGCAGCCGCGGUAAUUCCAGCUCCCAACAGUGUAUGCUAAAGUUGUUGCGGUUGAAAAGCUCGUAGUUGGAUCUUGGCUGGGCGCCGCCGGUCCGUCGCAAGGCGUGUUACUGGCGGCGCUCUCCCCCGGUUUUCGGUUCGCCCGAUCGGUGCUCUUGACUGAGUGUCGUCGGUGGCCGAUGAGAUUACUUUGAAAAAAUUAGAGUGUUCAAAGCAGGCAUCCUCGCCUGAAUAGUGUUGCAUGGAAUAAUGGAAUAGGACCUCGGUUCUAUUUUGUUGGUUUUCGGAACGUUGAGGUAAUGAUUAAGAGGGACAGACGGGGGCGUCCGUACUCUGCCGUUAGAGGUGAAAUUCUUGGAUCCGGCGGAAGACGAACUACUGCGAAACGAUUCGCCAAGAAUGUUUUCUUUAAUCAAGAGCGAAAGUCAGAGGUUCGAAGACGAUCAGAUACCGUCCUAGUUCUGACUAUAAACGAUGCCAACUAGCGAUCGGGAGGCGUUACCAUGACGACCUUCCGGCAGCUUCCGGGAAACCAAAGUCUUGGUGCUGGCGAACGUAGUGUUGCAAAGCUGAAACUUAAAGGAAUUGACGGAAGGGCACCACCAGGAGUGGAGCCUGCGGCUUAAUUUGACUCAACACGGGGAAACUCACCCGGCCCGGACACAGGUAGGAUUGACAGAUUGAGAGCUCUUUCUUGAUUCUGUGGGUGGUGGUGCAUGGCCGUUCU
rnacentral:rRNA from 1 species